rnacentral:lncRNA from 1 species
UGACGUGUAUUUUUGCAUAAAAUUUGUCUUCCGAUUAUUGUUAAUCAAUAUACAUUUUACCUAAAAUAAAUUAAUUUUAGUGAGAACCUUAUAAUAUUGGUCAUUUUUUCCCGUGAAUUAUUUCACAGUUUUGAUUUGCAAGAUUAGUGUCAACUGCUUGCUGAAUAAAAUUUAUCUGCAUUGAGUAUUUAUGGAUAAUUAUGUUCAAUGCAAUUCCGAAGAGCUUGAAAAACUUUUAGCUGAUCAUCAUUUGUUCGGAAAAAUUGUUUUUGGGAUUCAGUUACAACAAUUCGCCUUAAUCCCAUUGAUAGUUGUGAGGUUGAUCGAUAUAUCGCCAUCAAUCACAAAUACAUGCAAAAUGAUAAAUGCAGUUAACCAUUUCAUAGCAAAAACUGACAACAAUAUUUUAUAAUAAUAUACCACAAAAUAAUGAUUUUAUUUUGUUGGUGAUGAUCAUAUAUAUAAUUUGUUACACAAAGAGAAUUUCCUUCAAUUUUUCAUCCUCUUCCCCCCCUUUUUUUUAACCUUUCUAAUUGAUCUUAAUUCCCACUAUGAUUACAAUCCAUUUUCCCCCUCAUUUUGUGUCAACAAAUUUAAUUAGUGCAUGUAAUAAGCGAAGAAGGACAAAAAAGUAGCCCCAACCAAAGUUCCCAGAGCAGGCAAUGCAGCAGUGGCAUCACUAGCUGGUGCAGGAGCAGGUGCAGAAAUUGGGGGCAAUUGAGCCAUAGCUGCACUAACUGAGGCUGCAACAAUUAGGGUGACACAAGCAAUCUUCUUCAUCUCCAUUUUUGUGUUUUGAAAAAAAAAUUGUUUAUUAAAAAUUUGUGUUUGAUUAUUUGUUGCUUUGGUGAAUUGAAUAUGGUUGAGAAAAGGGUUAUAUAUAUAUAUAUAGGUGUGUGUAGAGAUAUUUAGAAGAAUUUUACUAGGAUAAUUUCAACCACAUUUGCAUGUUUAUGGUUAGAGAAUCGUUUGUUAGUUUUCAAGGGUUCUCAAUUUCUUCAUUCUUCUAAAAUUUAUCGUUUUCUUGUUGGUCUUGGUUUGUCCUGUUUUUUGAGGUCAGAAGAAAGUGUAAACAUGAAAAUAUUUUGACAAGUUUUUAACGCUUAUAUUAGAGGAGUUCGUUAGAUUUUAAGGGUUGUUAUUUUUAUUUUAUUUUAUAUAAUAUUUUAGUGUUUUUGUAAGUUCUUUAUAGUUGUCUGCGCUAUAUAUUAGUAUAUGUUAUCAUUAUUUAUCAUAUUUAGUUUUAAGAUUGUUCCUCGGUCAGGUAAAAGUAUCCAAUUUUUUAUCCUUUAAAGUAUAGACAUGUAGGGUAAAAUAUGUUCAUCGCAUGAAAAAGUGACACGUGGAGCCGAAGACAGAACUAAGACAAUCGGACCCGGAGGCAAUGGUCUCACUCGUCAUCGGAGAGAAUGAUAUUCAUAAAGACAAAAUAAAUGUCUGCCAUCCGGUAGCAUUCAAUGAGGAAUAUUCUAUAGCCUUCAGAGCGUGAUCCGUUACAGAGAAUAUGACAUUCAUUGCCCACUGUUACAGAAUCUUCAAUGGCCCUCAUACUUGUCAUUUAAGAGGGGCUUGAUCCAAGGACCUUGUUCUCUAGGUGUAACUUUAAAUAGUGAGCUCUACCAUCAUUGUAAGGGAGACGAAUUUUCUGACAAGCAUACACUGUAUUCUAUCAAAAGCUCAAUAACAUCUUACUUUCUUGCGUAUUUAUAUUGUUCUCACUGCCCCCGGAAGCUUUGCACCCGGGACUAAGAUAUCUGCCGUCUUAUUUCAAUUUCAAAGCUAAGUCUUACAUUUUUGUCCAAUCCAUCUAUUAUUUUUGGAUCAAAUUGAUUCACUUGUUUAUAAAACACGUAUAAAUUCAAUUGUACCAUUUUACGGGUAAACAGUUUGGCGCCCACCAUGGGGCAUAGACACUCGUGUAAUUGAAUUGAUCCCUGCAUCUAUUACUAACUUGUUUGAUUCUUUGUUCUUAGCAAAAAUCAUUUAAAAUGGCAGAUAAUGGUGUCAACAACACUCACAACGUUGAGGCCCAAGGAAAUCAGUCUCAGCACGAAGAUUCCAUCAGUUAUACCCGCAAUGAGGGGAACGAGGCCACGCCGGUUCACGUCGGACAAUAUCCACGACAUGUCCGAUAGGCAACUCUUGAUGAUGCUGAAGACAAGCACGUCGUCGAAACAGUAAGGAUCUUGAAGAACCAACAUGAGGCCAUUAUAGAUCAUCUCUCGCGGCAGGAUUAUGUCAUGAUAGAAUUAAAGCAGGCGUUAUCGGGUGCUUCCAACAACACGAAUGGACGAGGUCCAGUUCCUCCGGUGCUCCCGUAAAUCAAACAACGCAGAGGGUCGAUAACAACAUCCCAAUGGGCGAAGUCGGCUUUGACAGGGCUAGGGGAACAAUGGCGGAUCCGGUAACAACAACGAGAAUGAUCUUUUUAAAACCGAACUCAUGCGGUCCAUGAGGGUGAUAAACACCCGAAUGGAUCAAAUUCUGGGCGCAUCACUAGUGCUGAAAGAUCCGGACUCAAAGAAGUACACACAAUUGUCGUUCAAAUCAAGCGCAAUACCAGAAUUGAUCCCGAAGCGGUUUAAAAUGCCAGAUGUACUGAAGUAUGAUGGGACUUCAGAUCUCGAGGAACAUAUCACCACCUAUACAACAGUGGUGAAGGGAAACGAUUUGGCUCCGCACGAGACUGAGUCAGUCUUAUUGAAGAAAUUUGGGGAGACCCUUACGAAGGGAGCCUUGACAUGGUAUUCGCUUUUGCCCGAGCAUUCCAUAGACUCCUUUGAGAUGCUCGCGGACUCUUUCAACAAGGCCCAUGUCAGGGCCAGAAAGGUACAAGCCCAAAAGGCUGACAUAUUCAGGAUUGCACAAGGAGAAUCUGAGUUGCUGCGGGAGUUUGUGACCAGAUUUCAGAAGGAAAAGUUGUUGCUACUGGCCGUACCAGAUGAAUGGGAAGCUAAAGCAUUCACCAAAGGUCUGAAUUCGAGAAGUUUCGACGCUUCCCGGAAGUUGAAAGAAAGUUUACUCGCGUUACAGGCAAUAACUUGGGUAGAUGUUCAUAACCGGUACAAAUGAAAGAUAAGGAUUGAGGAUGAUCAGCUCGGUUUCCCAGCAUCAGCCAAGAGUCGGGACCGAUAGAAGAAUAAAGAGAAAUCGAAAGAUGAUUUCGACACAGAUCAACGGUCUUCAAGGGGUCGAUUUUGUCCCUAUGAACGGGCCGAAGGACGUGAUAGAGGUUUCCGGUCUAAUCGCCACCGAUAGGAGAGCUGAUUGCGGCCAGAAUAAUAGGUCAUUGCAAGACAAGGAGACAUCGGGUUCUCGAGAUUCCUCCUAUCCCAGGCUUUCCUAGUACAACUUUAACAUCAGCGUAGUGGAGCUGGUGUUGACUAUAAGGAACAUCAAAGAGGACAGUUCCCGAAACCAAUGAGAUCUAAUCCUAGUCAAAGGGAUACUAAUUUGUGGUGCGAAUAUCAUAGGACCAACGAUCACCGGACAUGGGACUAUCAUCAUUUGCGCGAGGAGGUGGAGACGUUGUUGAAGAACGACUAUCUCAGGGAAUUUUUGAGUGAUCGGGCUAAAAACAUCUACGGUCGCAAUCGUGAUAAUUCAGAACCUUCAAAAGCAGGAGAAGAUCCCCCGCACCUGAUGAUCAACAUAAUUUUUGGGGCAAACGAGAUUACCGAGGUUACAUUCUCGGCGGCAAAAUAUACGUAGGUGUCAGUGACCCACAACAAGAGGCUCCGGGAAGUCGCUGAAGACGACAUUACUUUCAUGGAGGAAGACGUAGAUGGAUUGCUGCUACCGCACAAUGAUGCGUUGGUAAUUUCUUUAAAUGUCUUAGAUUUUAAAAUUAAACGUGUUCUGGUGGACCCAGAAAGUUCAGCCAACAACAUGCAAUGGACGGUGUUGGAGCAAGACAAGCACCAUAAGCAUUAUUCUGUCCACAAAACUCCUCGCCGGGUUCAACAUAGCAAGUUUGAUAACCCGAGAAGAGAUCAUGCUGCCCAUGAAUGCCGAAGGGGUGAUGAAGACGACCCUUUUCGAGGUAGUGGACGGCGAUGUGGGUUACAAUAUUAUCCUGAGGAGACCAUGGUUGUAUGAGAUGAAGGCUGUGCCAUCAACAUAUCAUCAGUUACUUAAAUUCCCAACUCCCGAGGGAGUUAAACAAAUAAGAGGUGACCAACCAAUAGCAAGGGAGAUGAAUGCAAUCUCAGUCUCCAGUAGCAAAGGGAAGGAGCAUGCGGCAUAACAAUUACAGGAACCAGCACCUGCUCCCGAGCCGAGCGAAGUUAACUAAGGGGAGGAGUCAUCGGAAUUUUAUCAGGUACCAAGAUAUGUCACACCCCUUUUUACCCCCACAAAACAAAUAUGUUAUGGAUUGUUGUGGGUUAAAAGAGUUUUUUUAUUUGAAGUGACAUUUUUGAAGUAGGGACUAUUUUAUUAUUCAGAGUCGCCACUUGGAAUUUAAUUUUUGGGUGUUCCAAGUCACCUUUUAUUUGAAUCACUAUUCAAAGAAAGAUUUGACUCUUUUAUUAUUGGUCUGCAAAAAUAAAGUCCGGAUAAGGAAUUCUGUUGACCGAGGAGAAGGUGUAAGGCAUUCUCCGAGUCCUGUGGUUCUAGCAUGGUCGCUUUAUUGACUACAACUUGGCUUGAAUUAAUUUUGGAUAAACUGUAAUUUAUUGGUUUCCAUGUUUUAUCUAUCUGCUUUUAAUUAUUAAAAUAUAAAAUUAUCUUUGAAACGAAUUGCGCAUAUGAAUCCGUUUUAUUUUUUGUGCCAAAAUCAUGUUACGCGUACGAGUACACAAUUAAUAGUAUUUUAUUAUAUUAAGAUUAUUUUUGGUCAAAGUUGCAUGGACGCGUACCUUGAUUUAUUUUGGGAUCAUAUUUAUGUCACGCGAACGUAUACAUAACCACGAUAAUGGAUUAAGGCGCGCCUAAAUCAUUCUACGAGCAUUCAUGAUUUAUUUAUUUAUUCUAAACUACUUUGAGAUUGUUGUGAGGUCAUGAUUUAUGGAUAUUAAUUUGCGGGAGAAGUGUCACUUGACUAUUAUUAGCAAAUCACAAAUUACACAUUAGCUAUUGUAUCAAUUUUAAUGCCCCCAAGGAAAGCAACUUUAUUCCAAACAGAAACUACAUAAACCGAAGAAUGUUCACAACCUAUCAUGAAAUGAACCCCUAAAAAGACAACUGUUGAAUUCCACUGUUAGAGAAGUUAACCCAUUUGUCAUGAAUACUACUUUAACACUAAAGUAAACGACUAAGAAUUUCAAAUCAAACGUCAAACGUCACUGAUGAAUUUAUAUAUGCUUCUAAAGAUUAUUAUUUAAAUGGAAGAUCCCAAAAAUGAUUUUUUAGAUCAAGACUGUAGUGUAUCAUCUAACUAAACAAACACGUAAAAAUAACGGAACAGGAAGCUAAUAUCACUCUUAAAACAUAACUAAUUACACACAACUAAUAAAAGAAAUGCGCGAGAGAAUGGACCUUUUAUAUUGAAAACUUUUGCUUUAAAUAUUACAUCUGCACUUCCAAGUUGAACGAAACACAGGAACUUGACCAUUGACCGGAGCUCAAAACCUCACCGUGAAGCUCCCCCGCAAAUUUCGAACUUCAAACUGGGUCUGACAGAGACAGAAUAUUUUGGGGGUGAAAUGAAGCUAUGUUUUUGCUGGUUUUUGGCUCGAUUUUGCUGUAUUUUUCGGGCUGAUUUUUCGGGAGGUUUUCAGCCGAAUUUUCGUUGCUUUUGAGCUCUGUUUUUUUUAGAGGAAGAAAAAUCGUGAGGAAGAAAAAGAAGGGGGCAACUCGUUCUUCUCCUCCUCUCUCAAUGUCUCCCUUCUUUUGUUUUGUGUGCUUCUCUGUUCCUUUUAGGGAAUUGGGGAGAUGCAGAGGGGAGGGGGGUUGUGAGUGGGGACAAGCAUGAGGACAAAGGAAAGUGGAGUGGGGACAAAGAGUGUGGGGAGGGGGGUGGGGGAGCCUGGGGGACAAAGGAAAGUGGGGUGGGGACACGCGUGGGAAGAUGAGAGCGAGAAAGAUGGAGUGAGAAGUGAGGUGUUAGUGAGAUGAGUGGAAAAACAAUCAAGCAUGAUAAAAAAUUAGGUGCUCACAUCAUGCCCCUAUUUGCUUGAAAACACGAAGAGUUUUCAGGCAAAGAAAAGAUGAGCGAUAUGACUAAUAUUUUGCCAUACCAUUAUUCAAAAGGGAAGAGAUAAGAGAAAAGAGUGUGACCGACUCUUGGUUAUGGACAACCUACAUAUCUCGGGUUAUAAGGGAAUCAGGUCGUGUGUAACUUAAAAAGAGUGAUGGAAUGAUGAGUUGGAGAGUCGAGUGAGGUUCCGUCGAGGCUCCGGUCCGUGGUCCUGUUAUUACAUCAAAAUCAAAUGAAACUAAACAAGCAUAUCAGCUAUGAGCUACAAGAUUCCUAUUUAUAAGUCUUCUAAAAUUUGAUCUUGAGUCUCGACUGGUUCUUCACGCAGACUCUUAUCUGAACCUUGAUACUUGCUAGCCGCAAGUGCUAGUUCAUUCUUCUACGACUUAUUCUGAUCAAAACGAGAAAUACAAUGCUCGUGACUGCAGUCAUGUCUCGAGCCUUUUCAUCUACUUCUGCAUUUUGGAUUCAUUUCUUUUUGUUUUCUUUUCUUUAUUCUGGAUUGAGAAUUCUUCUUUUUAUCAUCUCGAACCCUGUGUCUUGAAGUAAAACCUACUCAGACAUUAAAACAAAUAAACGAACAAAAUUUUUCUACCCCAGUUUUCACUAGGCAAAUUUCGUGAGUUAUUGUAACAAAAUUCUAAACUACUUCUUUAUUAAAAGCACUAAAGUGCCGGAAGUGGUGUAGCGUAGGAAAACAUGAUAAUGAUUUUUUUAGAAUGGUGUACCCUUUAUUGUCAAAAUAAUAUCUCAACUAAGGAUUGUUGUACCUUAUAUUGGGAAAAUAUGGCCAGGGAAUGGUAUACCCUAUUUUUACAAUGAUAUUAGGGAGUGAUGUACCCUGCAUUUAAGAUCAAAUCAACUGGGAGUGGAGACCCUAUGUUGAAAAACAAAGCUAGGGAUUAGUGUACCCUAUACUGGUAAGGAGAUCAGGGAGUGGUGACCCUAUGUCGCAAAAAUAUAACUAGAAAUUGGUGUACCCUAUAUUACUGAAAAAGAAUGAAAUCAGGGGUUGGUACCCUGUAUUACUGGGAUAAAAAAGAGAAUUACUAAAAGGAAAUGUAAUCAGGGGUUGGCGCCCCGUAUUACUAAAAGGAAAUGUAACCAAGGGUUGGUGCCCUGUAUUACUGAAAAGGAAAUGUAACUAGGUGUUGGCGCCCUGUAUUACUGAAAAGUAAAUAUAACCAUGGGUUGGUGCCCUGUAUUACUGAAAAGAAAAUGUAACCAGGGGUUGGCACCCUGUAUUACUGAAAAGAAAAUGUAACUAGGGGUUGGCGCCCUGUAUUAUUGAAAAAGGAAAUGUAACCAGGGGUUGGCGCCCUGUAUUACUGAAAAAGAAAUNNNNNNNNNNNNNNNNNNNNNNNNNNNNNNNNNNNNNNNNNNNNNNNNNNNNNNNNNNNNNNNNNNNNNNNNNNNNNNNNNNNNNNNNNNNNNNNNNNNNNNNNNNNNNNNNNNNNNNNNNNNNNNNNNNNNNNNNNNNNNNNNNNNNNNNNNNNNNNNNNNNNNNNNNNNNNNNNNNNNNNNNNNNNNNNNNNNNNNNNNNNNNNNNNNNNNNNNNNNNNNNNNNNNNNNNNNNNNNNNNNNNNNNNNNNNNNNNNNNNNNNNNNNNNNNNNNNNNNNNNNNNNNNNNNNNNNNNNNNNNNNNNNNNNNNNNNNNNNNNNNNNNNNNNNNNNNNNNNNNNNNNNNNNNNNNNNNNNNNNNNNNNNNNNNNNNNNNNNNNNNNNNNNNNNNNNNNNNNNNNNNNNNNNNNNNNNNNNNNNCNNGAAACUAUGAGCUGGAUCCCCUAGGCGAAAAGGUUCUACUUGGGUUAAGCUACGAAAAACAGCUUGGGCGAAGAGUACUUCUACCCGGAAUUAUGAGCUGGAUCCCUCUAGGCAAAAAGGUUCUACCUGGGUUAAGUUACGAAAUGAGAGGUAUGAACUGUAGUGAUGCAUGCUAAAAAUAAAGGAAACUGGAGAUUUUAAGAAAACUUACCUUUGGUGACAUUCGUCCUUUAGGAAUCGCCAUUCUGCAAUGCUUUAUUCCUGCUGUAAACAAAGAAAAAUUGUGAGUUUUAAAAGUGGUGGUCUGUUUGUGGCCUUGAUGUCUUUGGGAGCUUGACUUUGUGUACAUCUUCUUUUGAUGAUGAUUUCAACCUGUCACUAAAUGGUUCGUGAAUACCACUUGUAUUUCUGGCCCCGGAGAGUCUUUGACUUUUCAAACUUUUACAUGACGGUUGAUCGCGUGGGAUUUAACCUUUUCAACUUUAUUUUGCCUUUGUGGCAAUUCACUUUCGACUUCUUUCUUCAAAAACUCUCAAUUUUAGAGCAUUGGGGAAUCUUUGGCUUUUCAAACUUUGCAAAAAAGGUUAGCCACUUGUGACUUAACCUUUUCAACUUCAUUUUGCCUUUGUAGGCACUUUCAAUUCGAUUUCCUCCUUUUGAGAGUUUUUGAUUUCAAAGCAUCAACCACCAUGGCCAGUCGGGGUUGACUUGAUGCCCCUGCUGAGGCUGGGUGUCUCUUGAAUAUUAGCUUGUAUCAAACAAAAGCCUUGUAAAUCAGUCUUGCCAUCCCUUAUUCGCCUUAGUUUUGGAACAGAGUUAGACCGAAAGGGAUUCAAAGAACAACAUUCAAUGGAAUGGAUAAUAAAUUUAGACAAGAGGUAUCCCUUUUGGGGAAAGGAAAGAAGGACUUAUCUAGAGUACAUGCAAACUUCAAUGAACAUGACAUGCCUUUGGACUGGAUGACUAAUCUGUGUAAACCGUCUGACUCUAAGAAAUUCAUCACAACCUUUGCCUUGAAAUCGAGAAACCUUGCCCAGGACUGUGUCGAUGCCAAUGGCCGUGAGGAUCCCCUUUUUGAUCAGUGGCGUCCUUUGUGGGUUUUCACCAGUUGACUUCUCUCUUCUCACCAUCGCCUUAUAGUGCUUCUUGCGAGUUUUCACUAAAAAGACUCUCUCAUUUUAGUUUUUUUACUCACCAUUGCCUUACGGUGCCCAUGAGGGUUUUCACCAAUAAGACUCUUAUUUUCUUUCUCUCAUUUAGUUGUAUCAGAUCCAAGUAACUGUAUCCUCCAAUUCUUGAACAUUCUCGUUGAUUGAUCGGAAGGACUUGAAAAGGAUUUGGGUAAAAAGGAUUUGGAUUGAAUUACAACUUUGGAACCUUUCAGGCGAAACCAUCGUUGAACCAAUUGUAAAAUUUGCCGAGUUUCAUUUUUUUUUUUUGGAAUGUGAAUUUUUAUUCUGGUGUGACUGAACCCUAGAGAGAGGCUGAAUAUGUAUCAUUUCGGAAUCAAGUCAAACGUAGUUCAAUGAACAUGAACUUGUUUGGAAUUUUGUUUUGUUUUCUUUUUCUUCCUCUUUCUCUUUAUUUUUCUUUUCCUUAUUUUUUCCUUUUUUUCAUUUUUUUUCAUUUUUCAUUCAAAUGUUUUUUCAAUAAUAACUUCGAGGUUCCAAAGAGGGUAAUAAAAAAAAAGAUCUGGCUCAAAGGAUUUGCAAAGGGUUGAAUAUUUGGAUAGUGAGAAAGAAAGCCUUCUUCAUCCCAACCAGAGAACAUUAAUGUUAUAUAGAGGAUGAAGCAUAGUACCUUUUGACUACACUUGCGUUGACAGUUAUUUCGGGGAUAUUUCCUUCGAUAUUUUCCAGGUGCAACGCUCUCUUUUGGCAGUACUCUCGUUACAAUGUAUGGACCUUUCUAAUAUGGAUACAAUUUUCCCUUAGUUGUUCCGAUUCUUUAUUUUAUUUCCUUAAACUAAUCUUCAUCGCAUUCUGACUCUUGAAUCAUUAUUUCAAAGUCUGACAACAUUUUAGGAUCUGGGCAUGAAGUCCGCAAGCAUGCCAUGUCAUUAAAAUCUUUACUAACAUAACUGAAAAGAGAAUAAGAAAAGUGACGAGAUUAAGAAAAGAGAUUCCUGGACAACGGAAUAUUAAUUUUAUUUGAUUUUUAUUUUAUUUUUUUGAUUUUUUUAAUUUUGAAUUUUAAAGAUAGAAGGGUUUACAUUGGAAAGUAAGACAAUAAAGUAAAAUAUCCGAAUCACACCCUGAGAUAAUUCGAACACGGAAAGGAUAGCAAGACUGUCUACCGAGACUCUCGUCUGAUGGGGGACUUUCAGGCUUGGCGACCAUUUUUUGGCUUUUCUUAUGUCUCGGCAAUGGCUGCAAUGGCCUUCAGUGCCGGAUCAAAUUCCUCAUCUUCAUAGAUCAUUCUGACUACUGGCCCGUUGGUGUGAGUAGGCAGAGGAUUGUUCAUCAUAUUAGGGGUCUCUUCAUCCCUAAGCACUAUUGCCUUGACCUCGAUGAGGUCUUCCACUGCUCUCUUAAGAGUCCAACAGUCUUCCGUAUCAUGUUCCACUUCUCUAGAGUGGUAUUCCCAUCUAGCAUUAGCCCGGUGCGAGGGGUCUCAGGGUUUGGCCAGUUCGGGGCUACU